GACGAACGCUGGCGGCGUGCUUAACACAUGCAAGUCGAACGAUGAACCCGGAGCUUGCUCCGGUGGAUUAGUGGCGAACGGGUGAGUAACACGUGAGUAACCUGCCCUUGACUCUGGGAUAACUGCGGGAAACUGUAGCUAAUACCGGAUACGACCCUCGGCGGCAUCGCCAUGGGGUGGAAAGAAUUUCGGUCAGGGAUGGACUCGCGGCCUAUCAGCUAGUUGGUGAGGUAACGGCUCACCAAGGCGACGACGGGUAGCCGGCCUGAGAGGUGGACCGGCAACACUGGGACUGAGACACGGCCAAGAAUCCUACGGGAGGCAGCAGUGGGGAAUAAUGCACAAUGGGGGCAAGCCUGAUGCAGCAACGCCGCGUGAGUGAUGACGGCCUUCGGGUUGUAAACCUCUUUUAGUAGGGAAGACGCGAAAGUGACGGUACCUGCAGAAAAAGCACCGGCUAACUACGUGCCAGCCGCCGCCGUAA
rnacentral:rRNA from 1 species